AACGUAGGAGACAAACGUUAUCCGGAGUUACUGGGCGUAAAGGGCGUGUAGGUGGUUUCGUAAGUCUGGCGUGAAAUAUCUCGGCUUAACCGAGGCAGGUCGUCGGAUACUGCGGAACUGGAGGACGGUAGAGGCGUGUGGAAUUCCGGGUGUAGUGGUGAAAUGCGUAGAGAUCCGGAGGAACACCAGUGGCGAAGGCGACACGCUGGGCCGUACCUGACGCUAAAGCGCGACAGCAUGGGGAGCAAACGGG
rnacentral:rRNA from 1 species